GCAGCGGCUCAACCGCAUGGUCGCACCUGGAGCUCGGAGUUGAAAUAAUUCACUGUGAACAUUUCUUACAAGCUGCAAUAGGAGCAACGGAAAGAAAGGAAAAUCAGGCAGCCAAAUUGCCAGAUAUAUAGUGGGAGCACAUUAGCUGAAUGAUAGGUGGGUCUCACAAUCGGAAGUUGCUAAGAGUGUUAAAAUGCCAUCCAUCUUCCAUCUUUCCACUAAACAGAGAAAACUAGAAUGCUAUGAGAUCCAUUUUUUAAAAAAAAGAUCAUUCCAUCCCAAAUUGUUCCAAACCAAACAAUUGCUGGGAGGAUCACCGGGACGGGAUGGGGUGAACCCAAAUUCAGCGGCCAUGACCUUCUUCCUCUUUGAGCUUUUGGUCAUGCCCUCUUCUUCGUCGAGCUCCUGCCCACGCCAUCUUCUUCUUCGAGCUCCCGGCCGCUGGAUGCACAAGCGGCGCAGGGCGCGGCGCUAGGAGGUCCGAGCGGCACUCGGAGGCAGUGCUAAUGAAGCGGGUGGGCUAGGAGACAACGUUGGGGAGGUGGCGAGGUGCUAGAAAGGGGCGAGUAGAGAUGGGACGACGGUGUUGGAGAGAGAGACGAGCAAUGAUGGGGCAACGGUGCUAGAGAGGGACGAGCAGAGCUGGAGAGGAUGACGGUGGCAAUGGAAAUCGGGGGUAGCGAUGGAAGUGGCGGCGAGGGAAGUAGAUAUGGAGAGCCAACGCUGGCAUACGAGAGGCACGAAAACAGUAGCUAACUCUAUUAGGAGUCUAUUCGUUUGUCUGAAAAUUCAUGACUGUACCAUUCAUUUAUUUGUUACGAGAGAGAAACACCGCUGAAUAACUAACACAUUCAACAGAUAAGCUUAAGUGAACAAGAUCGGUCAUCCAUGUUACUUAACUUAUAUACUCUAACUAAACAAAUAAGAAAGACAAUUUAUCCCUCUUAGGUCUUCCACAAUGUUAUGCUUGGGUAGUGCUAAAAGAGGAGAGAGAACAUUUAAGACACUCCACACGCUGUGUAAGGAGGUGCCAAUGCCAAAAAAAUGGAGCGGAGAAAGUAGUUACGUCGGUGCUCUAAACAAC
rnacentral:lncRNA from 1 species